AGUGAACGCUGGCGGUAGGCCUAACACAUGCAAGUCGAACGGCAGCACAGUAAGAGCUUGCUCUUACGGGUGGCGAGUGGCGGACGGGUGAGGAAUACAUCGGAAUCUACUUUUUCGUGGGGGAUAACGUAGGGAAACUUACGCUAAUACCGCAUACGACCUACGGGUGAAAGCAGGGGAUCUUCGGACCUUGCGCGAUUGAAUGAGCCGACGUCGGAUUAGCUAGUUGGCGGGGUAAAGGCCCACCAAGGCGACGAUCCGUAGCUGGUCUGAGAGGAUGAUCAGCCACACUGGAACUGAGACACGGUCCAGACUCCUACGGGAGGCAGCAGUGGGGAAUAUUGGACAAUGGGCGCAAGCCUGAUCCAGCCAUACCGCGUGGGUGAAGAAGGCCUUCGGGUUGUAAAGCCCUUUUGUUGGGAAAGAAAAGCAGCAGAUUAAUACCCCGCUGUUCUGACGGUACCCAAAGAAUAAGCACCGGCUAACUUCGUG
rnacentral:rRNA from 1 species